rnacentral:lncRNA from 1 species
AUGCAAUCCUAUAAAUCCUUAUUUUUCUCACAGUCUCUCAAUAGUUAGAAAACAAUUGCCCACCAAAGCAAAACAGUGGCCAACAAUUUUGGCCACUUAUUUUUCAUAUGUUCAGCUGCGUCCUUCCAUUUCAUUUUUUUUUUCUCUUUUGAGAUGGAGUCUCACUCUGUCACCCAGGCUGGAGUACAGUGGUGCGAUCUUGGCUCACUGCAACCUCUGCCUUCUGGGUUCAAGCGAUUCUCCUGCUCCAGCCUCCUGAGUAGCUGGGACUACAAGCGCAUGACACCACGCCCGGAUAACUUUUUCUAUUUGUAGUAGAGACGAGGUUUCACCAUGUUAGCCAGGAUGGUCUCCAUCUCCUGACCUCAUGAUCCUCCGGCCUGAGAAGGUAAUGAGAAAGAGAAGUUCCAACUGAAGAAUGCAGUGUCAUGAAGGCUGAGGAGGACCAGAGAGGCAUAAAUCUGAGCCUGGACCUACACACCUGGCUCCCCCAAGUGUUGGAAGAUCUCAUACUUACUUGUCGAUGCUGGAUUUUGUGUCAGCAAUUUUGUUUAGGCUAGAUAUCUUGAAUCCAUAUGCAUUCCCUCUUUGACCUUUAUUCAUAUAAUUUCCAAAUGCCAAAACCACCUCCAGCAACUGCUUGAGGGCACCACUCCUAAACACCUCUUCUGAGCCAGAACGAAUUGCUUCAAAACAAAACACAUAAAAACAUGAUUACCAAGUGUUUCGUUGUUUGAAAUCAAGAUGUUUCAGUGAUACCCAUUCUAAAUUCACACACUUAAUAACAGAUAUUGAAGAUGUAAGACUGAGUUAUUGGGUUACCGAGAGCACUUUCAAAACGCUUACACCAGAAGCAAAGAACAAGGACAGGGAGAGCCAACUCAAGUUGUUACCAACACCCAUAGACAGCUGCAAAAUCCUAUCCUUUCUCAGGCCUUUCUUGGCUGACUCAUCAGUCAUAAGCACUGAGGAAUAUCUAGAACAGCAAUCCCAUCUCCAAGAUUUCUUUACAAACACUUACUUGUCUGGUGUGAGUCAGGUUAACAGGAGUAUUGAUCAAUUCCACUGACAGAAAACUAGUUAAAUGUGUUACAUGUCAUAGCUUGCAGGUGUCAUAACAGGGAUCAGAGCUUAGGCAGAUGCCUGAUUCCAGCCUGCGUUCCGUGGCUGUGCUCUUCAGUUGCCUUGCCCACAUUUCAAACAUUUACAAAUUUUAAAAAUCAAACCAUACAACAGCCUCAAAUCUUCCCUUUAAAAAAUCUACUAAGGCUCUGUUGUGAGGAAGCUAAUUACAGGUUUAAUGCUAGUAGCA